CACCUUCUCUUUUUAAUUGACAUUGAACAUAUUUUUAUUUUUUGAAUUUGAUAUACUCCUCCGAUCCCAAAAUAAGUGUCUUUAUUUUAGUACAACAUUUAUAUACUAAAAUGGUUCGUGGUGGCACUUUCUUGUUUGACAGACAUUUCUUUUUUUAGUGGUGUUUGAUAGACAUUUGAUUGAGUUAAGUUAAACACGUACUACACCGUAAGUAGUAUCAUUGUUGGCUAAUCUUUUCACCUAAGCAAAGUUCCAUCUAACAACUAUCCAGACUAUCAACACGUGAGUGGCUAAAUGUACAUAAAAAAUCGUAGUGUGGCUACAGGUUCCCACCAACAUGAACCUUCAUUUUGUCCUUUCUCGAGUGUUCUUGUCUUCUCCCUUUCCGAAAAAAGUCCUCUUGAACUUUGAACACCGUGGGAAAAAAAGUCUUCUUUUCUUCUCGGGAGCUCCCAGCCAUGUAAAAGGAUGAGCCAGCCUGGGUCCGCCGCAUCGCAUAUGUGAGGAUCACCUCGAAGCUCCCCUCGGUCUCCUCUCAUACUUCGUGGUCCUCGCACACCUCGUGGCUGGGACUGCACAUAGUUUGGCUGCCCGCGUGCCUCGUCGAUCUCCCGGGCCGUCAACGGUUAGCAGGGCCCUGAUGUCAGCUGCCUGAGGGAGGAUUCGGGCCCGUCGAACUCGACGGCGCAGUUGCCGUUGGCUUCCAUUGAUGCGAUGAAGGUGUGGAUCUCGUUCCCCUUAGCUCUUGCAGAUUGUGGUUGUGGGGAUCCUGGGGGUGUUAUGUCCGUCCCCGAGCGCCGGGCCGGAGGCGUCGUUGCUGUCCCCAAGCGAGCACGCUGACGCAUCGUCUUGAUCCUCGACAGCCACAACCCCGCUUCAGCAUCGCAUUCUUCCACCUGCAGGCCCCCCCUCUCCAUUUUCCUUUUUCUGUCUUUGUACGACUGAACCAAUAUACUUUAAGGUAUUUCUUAACAGUGACAAAUGGUAUAUAUUGACUGCUAUUGAAAUGAGAUAGUAGUAAGUCUGGAUGCCCAACGCAGCUUAAGGCAAAUUGUUAAUUAGUUUAUGCGCCAUCCACUUUUUUCAGGGCUUGAGACCGGAAUCGCAGUUUGUGAUUAGUGUAUGGUGUAUUUGUGAUUAGCUGUAGUUUUAAUAUUUCCCAAAGACAAAUUUAUUUUAAUAACUGAGUAGUAAAAUUAGGUUUGAUGGCAUUCUACAUAUGAAAUAUAACGAUGAUCUGAUGCUCUCAACAUUGGCUUGACUAUAUAAUAAGCUUAAAAUAUCAGAUGAUGUAGAAUGUCGAUUGAUGUUUGGUAUUACUGAACUAUUUCCAUAAAAUGUUGAUGCAUCUUUCCAGUACUUAUCCGGAAUAGUUGACCAUCUCCGUCCUGUCAUAUCUUGUUAUCAUAGGUAAGUGAGUUAUUAUUUUGAAGGUAGUCUGCAGUGUACUUUUUUCCUUCAUGUACCUAUGAUUAUAUAUAAUGUAUAAAAGGCAGUGUCAUCCAUCUAGCAAUGCGAUUGAGAUGGCCUCUACCCCGGCGGAAGUUCAAGCCAACACCCAUCUACUCCCUCCGUAAAUAAAUAUAAGUGUUUAGAUCACUAAAGUAGUGAUCUAAACACUCUUAUAUUUCUUUACAGAGGGAGUACUUCAUAUGUAUGCAAGUAGCGGCGCGUGCUCUUUUAAAAAAAUCUUUGUUUCUAUCUGACCAAUUCCUUUGGUUUGUACUAAUAAUUGUACAGUAUACAUGCACUUGGCCUGAGUGCAUGGACCACUCUUAUGUAGUAAAUUCCCAAAUAGACAAUGGAUAAUGGUACAUUAGAGUAUAAAAUUGAUAAUGCAUGAUUAGUUGAGUGAAAUCAGUUCUGGCUCUCCAUGUUUGAUGCUGUGAAGCAGAGUAUGUGUAAAGCACUACCGAGUUUUUCUAUCCUGGCCAUUUAGUCCUGCUGUACAAUAGAGAUUCCAACAGUCAUACAGUCAAUUGUUGCUGCUAGUUAGUAGGUUAAUAGCGUAACCCCCCUUAAAAAUUAGUUCUUUUGUUUAUUAGCAGCUUCAUUCCUUUCUGUAUUAUAGUUUGAGGAACUUUUUAGAUAGUGAAUUCCUUGAUCUCAUUUAUUUGCUGUUUCUACCAAGUGUUUGUCCUCAUGUUUGUAGUCAUUCAUUGAAUAUGAAGAGCAAGAAAGUGAAAAUCCGAGUUGGAGAGGUGCAGGUCUAUCAUAAGGAUGUGUUCAUUUUCGGGAAUGAUUAGGCGGAGCAGACAUGUUACGAAUGUACAUCUUCAAUUGAGUGCAAAAGGAUUAGAAGAUGGUUAUGGGACAACCGUGAUUGUUGACCAGAAAAUAGCUAUUUCGAAGUUUGAUUAAGAAAGGCACAGUAAUCAACAUUUUGGGUACAAAAUUCUAUUGGCUGAGAUGUUCAUGGACAGUAAUGGCCAGGAACCAAUACUUUAUUGUCUGAUGCAUAUUCUCCUUUCAUGUACCAUGCAUGUGACAAAAGAAUCAACUUGAUGAUGCUUAUGUAUAUUUUGGCAUCGAGUAUCAACUUCUAUGUGUGUUUUGUUAACAAUUAAUGAAUAGAACAAUUAUGGUAA